GGCUGGUGACGUUGCACAAUAACAAGAGCUGGCGGCCGUGGGGCGGCUGGUGGGAUAUGUUUACCGGGAGUGAGCGAUGGUGAUAUGGAUGCUAUCUCUGUGCCUUAUGGCGUGACUGUUGUCGGAAAGGCAGGCGACGUCCACAACUUCUUGAAACAGACGAGGAGAGGACAUUGCCAGCCCGAGAGGACAAAAACAUUAUUUGAAGAGAUCCGAGCAUCUGUUACAAAUAAUUCAAAUGAAGAUAGAUCUUUCUGGAGACCUGUUCUUCCAUGGGGUGGAGUGUACACCAUUAAAGCUGGAAGAAAGGCAAUGGCUUGCACUCCACUAUAUGUUAGGAUAAGCCUAAAAAACACUUGCAGCAUUGAUGGGUUUUUGAUGUUGCUGUAUGUAAUUCUCAGUGAAAAUGAGAAUUUUUGUAGAGAGUUAUCAAGCUACUUAGGAAAGGAAUUUGUUGAGCGCUUUCUGUAUUUGAUGGAUUCUUGUAAAUUCACAACUGUGAAGUUGUUGUGGAUUUGGGAUAAAAUGGAAAAAUGUCAGUACAAAUCAGAAGUCCACAAGGCCUCGCUAGAAAUUGAUCUUUUUGGAAAUGAACAUGAAAACUUCACAAGAAACCUGGAGAACCUUAUGUCCACUAUUCAGGAAACUUUCUGUUCUAAUGGGAGAUGUCCGGCACGUGCGCAGGAAGAUCAGCGCAAGACAAUUAUUAUCGCUCCUUCACAUGAUUCUCUCCUGGGUGAUGUAAUUCAAGCAGCAGUGAACGAAUUAUUCUGUCCCAGGACUGAGCUGUGCGAAGAACUUGGAUGUAAUGGUCAGCGUGAGUUCACACAAAGAAUUUUUUGUCAUGAUGCUCCUCCAUUUGUCAUCCUAAAUAUGGAGCAGUGGAAAUCUGAGGAAUUGCCCUAUGUCCCAUAUACUUUGGCUGUAGCAAAACAAAGCUGGAGGCCAAUCAUCAACCUCAAAGCAUCACAGCAGGAGUUUGAUAGUGGUGUCCUAGAAGCCCAAACUUCUUCAGAUGCUUCAUCGAUGACCUCUCCAUCAUAACAUCAGAAGUGGGGAUGAUUGCAGUGUUCACUCCUAUUUGCAAAUCCUCAUAUAAUGAAGUAGUCCAUGCCCGCAUUUAUCAAGGCUUCGGGGUGAAAAGUAGUAAGUGACAUUCGUGCUGCACAAGUGCCAGGCAACAAUAAAUCUCCAAGUGAUUAUAACCACCGAGACUUGACUUCAAUGGCCUUACUGACAUUGAAUCCCCCACCAUCAACAUCUUGGAGGUCACCAUUGACCGGAAAACUAACUGGACCAAACCCAUAAAUACUUUGGCUACAAGAGCAUGUGAGAAACUGGAUAUUCUGUGUCUGACUCCCAAAGCCUUUCCAUUGUAUGCAAGUCAGUAAUGUGAUGAAAUAUUCUCCACGUACCUUGAUGAACGCAAUUCCAACAACGGUGGAAACUCUACUCUCCUGGAUAAAUCGGCCUACUUGAUUGACAGUCCACCCAACACCUUAAACAUUCACUCCCUCCUGCAUUGGUGCACAGUGGCUGCAACGUGUAUCAUCUACAAGUUGCACUGUAGUAACUCACCAAGGCUUCUUCAACAGCACCUUCCAAACACAAUCUUUACCACCUAGAAUGACAAGGGCAGCAGAUGCAUCAGACCAACACCCACAAGUUCCCCUCCAAGUCACACACCAUCCUGACCUGGAACUAUAAUCACCAUUUCUUCAUUGUCACUCAAAGUCCUGGAACACCCUCCCCAAAAGCACUGUGGGUGCACCUACCCACAUGUACUGCAGCUGCUCAAGGAGGUGGCUUACCAUCAACUUCAAGGACAAUUAGAUACACAUUGGAGGGGGCAACACUUUUCAACAAAGAGGAGCACCAUUAUUCUGCUGCUUUUAUGAUUGAUGGUAAUUGGAUGCAUUAUGAUGGGCUUAGAACUGAGAACUUGGUCUUUUUAAAUAAACCUCCAGAGCUG